rnacentral:lncRNA from 1 species
CACCGAAGCAGUGCAGGCCAUGCAGCAGCAGCAGCAACAGCCGCAGGCAUCAGUGCGGUUGGAAAGAGCAUCAUCAGAGUUCCAAAAUCCGACAGUAGGGUGGGCCACUUGGGCCAGUCGCCCUGUCUUCCUCGGAAAGGGAAAUCCGAGGGUGGAGAGCCCUCGGUUUGAUCACGAUUCCACUCCCAGAGGAUCCCUACCUUCAUUCUGCCAGAAGACCCUCGAGACUCGUAGUCGAGAGGACCUCCUGGAUCAAAGGCUCCAGGAGAUGAGCCG